rnacentral:rRNA from 1 species
CCUACGGGUGGCUGCAGUGAGGAAGAGGGGGCAAGGGACGAGAGUCUGAACCAGCCAAGGAGCGUGAAGGAUGACUGCCCUAUGGGUUGUAAACUUCUUUUAUAUGGGAAUAAAAUGUUCCACGUGUGGGAUUUUGUAUGUACCAUAUGAAUAAGGAUCGGCUAACUCCGUGCCAGCAGCCGCGGUAAUACGGAGGAUCCGAGCGUUAUCCGGAUUUAUUGGGUUUAAAGGGAGCGUAGGUGGGUUGUUAAGUCAGUUGUGAAAGUUUGCGGCUCAACCGUAAAAUUGCAGUUGAAACUGGCAGUCUUGAGUACAGUAGAGGUGGGCGGAAUUCGUGGUGUAGCGGUGAAAUGCUUAGAUAUCACGAAGAACUCCGAUUGCGAAGGCAGUUCACUGGACUGCAACUGACACUGAGGCUCGAAAGUGUGGGUAUCAAACAGGAUUAGAUACCCCAGUAGUC